rnacentral:misc_RNA from 1 species
AACCAUUCUCACCUGCGGCUAGACCUGCGGAAGGAUCAUUACUGAGUCACGUGCUCAAACAACCCUUCUGUGGACCUGAAAUAAAACCGUUGCCUCGGCGGGCGGUCCCCCCCAAACCAACCCCACGUGGUGGGUUAGGGGAGACCAGACAGUCCGGUACGCUUAAGGCGUCCGGCGCCAGCCGCUGGCCCCAAACAAUUAAACUCUAGCAAUCUUUACCUUCUGAAUUUCAAUAUUUAA